AGACCAUGAUGCGGGCGUUUCCUUAAUAACUACUUGAACUUUUCCCAUGUCUCUUUCAAAAAUUCCCCAUCAUCUUGAGAGUAUGAAUUGAUUUCAGUCAUGAGUUU
rfam:Helianthus annuus linkage group 11, whole genome shotgun sequence.